rnacentral:rRNA from 1 species
CCUACGGGAGGCAGCAGUGAGGAAUAUUGGUCAAUGGGCGCGAGCCUGAACCAGCCAAGCAGCGUGAAGGAUGAAUGUCCAACGGGUCGUAAACCUCUUUUGUCAGGGAAUAAAGUGGGGGAAUAGUGCAUGGAUGAGGGUACUUGAUGAAAAAGCAUCGGCUAACUCCGUGCCAGCAGCCGCGGUAAUACGGAGGAUGCGAGCGUUAUCCGGAUUUAUUGGGUUUAAAGGGGGCGUCGGUGGGCUGUUAAGUCAGUUGUGAAAGGCCGCGGCUCAACCGUCAAAGUGCAGUUGAAACUGGCGGCCUUGAGUUCGGGUGAGGUAGGCGGAAUGCGAGGUGUCGCGGUGAAAUGCUUAGAUAUCGCGCAGAACUCCGAUUGCGAAGGCAGCGUAC